rnacentral:misc_RNA from 1 species
CCGGCCUCAGCAGCUCAUCAGCUCUGGGUCUCCGGGCACUCGAGGAUGCUCUCGAGGCACGGCCGCCAGCCGCCGUCGCCGACUCCCUUGGCGUGGUUGGCGGCCUGCAUGUGGUGGAUCGCGUCCUCGAGGCGCCGCUCGCCGCCCUUGAGCUGCGCCACGAGCCACUCGAGCUCGCCGCGCGUCAGCACGACCUUCACCUUGAGGCCCUCCGCCGGAGCUACGGCCACCAUCUCCUCCUCCUCCUCCCGCAGCAGCUGGCUUAUCCUUCUCAUCUCCGAGAGGCUCUCCUCCUCUUCCGGCAGAAGCAUGCCGCGGUGACCCCGCUUGGCGGCCGUGUUCAGGCAGUUGCCCAUGGCUGGAUGGCGCGCGCGGCCUUCGGUUGGUGGUGUGUAGGAAGGAAGGAAGCUGAGUGAGCA